GGGAAAUGAGGCGUGGUUAUAAUCUUGCUAAUUUGUGCGAGAUGGGUGUCCGUCCCAAGCCUGGUUACGACAAUUGGGCAUCCUUUUUUUACCAUCUGAUCCC